UCUACGGGUGGCUGCAGUGGGGAAUAUUGGACAAUGGGCGAAAGCCUGAUCCAGCCAUGCCGCGUGUGUGAAGAAGGCCUUCGGGUUGUAAAGCACUUUCAGUGGGGAAGAAAGCCUUGGGGCUAAUACCCUCGAGGAAGGACAUCACCCACAGAAGAAGCACCGGCUAACUCCGUGCCAGCAGCCGCGGUAAUACGGAGGGUGCGAGCGUUAAUCGGAAUUACUGGGCGUAAAGCGCGCGUAGGCGGUCUGAUAAGCCGGUUGUGAAAGCCCCGGGCUCAACCUGGGAACGGCAUCCGGAACUGUCAGGCUAGAGUGCAGGAGAGGAAGGUAGAAUUCCCGGUGUAGCGGUGAAAUGCGUAGAGAUCGGGAGGAAUACCAGUGGCGAAGGCGGCCUUCUGGACUGACACUGACGCUGAGGUGCGAAAGCGUGGGUAGCAAACAGGAUUAGAUACCCUGGUAGUC
rnacentral:rRNA from 1 species